CAUACAAUAUUCAUAUUGCAUAGUUCUAAGUUCGACUGAAAAUGUAUUGAGAAGAAGAACUAUAGGUAAGUUACCUAUGGCUAUAUGUUUGCAGUAGGUAAAUGUUAAUACGUAGAUUUCACGUUAAAUAACUAUAAAAUUCGUUUCUACAGUGUUCGAGAAAAAUGAAAAUCUCAUACAGUGCUACGUUGGAAUGGGAUUUCCGCAGUGGAGUGUCCACAUUACUAGAUCUUACCAUACGCUCGAUUAUUCAGAAGUCAUGGCGUGAUGCGAUCGUUCAAAGACGUCAAUGUGCAAAAUUGGAUAAGAAUUUCAAUGGGAUGUAUGCAGAGAUCACGAUUGAUUCAAAGUUUCGAAACGUAAUGAUAUCUUGGAAAAAAAAUGAGAUCGAUGUACCGUUCGUGAUCUCCACAACCUCAACAUCCUCAACGCCUUUAAAUGAGAAAAUCCAAAUGAAAAUGGAGCAGUACGCCAGUAAACUUAAUGUAGAAUUUCGCGUCUGGAAAAAUCAUUGUCGACACGUACUCCAGCAUUGCUUUGAUGUCUUUAAUAGAGGGUACAAUGUUGACAUUUUCAACUAUUUAGAUGAUUUCAUAUAUGACUCGUAUGGAAGCAUCGACUACACUGAAAUGGCCAAGAAAAUGUUGACGUGCGAUGAACUAGAAAAAGAAGUGAGAUUCGCUAUCGCUUGUGAAUUUUGUUUCGAGCAUGAAAUCAAAGAGUUAUGGCCUUUAGUAGCAAAUAGAGCACUGCUCUGCAGCGGUAAGAUAAAAGGGACAAUGCCGAAUUAUUCAUUGGCAGAGUAUUGGGUUGCUGUAUUAACUAAUCAGCGUCCAAAAGUUCCUAUUCGUUUUGGUGGUCAUAAUCCUACUAUAAUAUUAGUUAGAUUUUCACACACGAAACCAACGGACUUUACUGAUAUUCCUGCUACCAUGUUUAUUGGAUGUUCACACACGAAACCAGCGAUGGAGUUCUUUUGGAAACAUAUCCCCACAUUCGAUGGCCAAGUGCUCUGCAUUGGUAAAUGCUUUGAUAAUCUUGUAAAUGAGAUCGGAAUGAUAGUAUUAUUAGAGCACUGGAUUCCGAGAAUGAACGAUGAAUUCCUCAAGUCCCUUGUAAAGCUACAUGGUACGCAUAUGAUGUCGAGCAUGUUGAAAUCAAGACUUUGUUACAAAUUCGUUUUGCCGUUUUGGCAUCGGACAUGCAUCAUGUACGAUAGCGAUCAAUUUGUUACAUUUUUAGUAGAAUUUACUGGUACAAAAGAUACACGUAUCAAAUAUUUGUGCGAACAAAUUUGGAAUAUCGCUUCGAUUGAAUUCAAAAAUCAUGCUUCGAAUCGUAUUGCAGCUCAAAUUGCAACUAAUCGAUGUCCUUAUGAUGACUCCAUGGCAACAAGAAGCUAACUGAUGUUACAAAUUAGAUUUUUGUACUUCGUGGAAUUAAAUCCUCCUACGUAUAUUUUUUAAUUUUAUGUAUAUAUAGUGGUACAUAUUUCUAAUUGUUUCUUAAACUUUGAUAUUUUAAGAAUGGCUGAAUUUUUCGUCAGUUUAGAAAAAUAAAAUAUUAUAUUAUUGGA